UGGGGAAUAUUGGACAAUGGGCGCAAGCCUGAUCCAGCCAUGCCGCGUGGAUGAUGAAGGCCCUAGGGUUGUAAAGUCCUUUCGACGGGGAAGAUAAUGACGGUACCCGUGGAAGAAGCCCCGGCUAACUUCGUGCCAGCAGCCGCGGUAAUACGAAGGGGGCUAGCGUUGCUCGGAAUCACUGGGCGUAAAGCGCACGUAGGCGGACUCUUAAGUCGGUGGUGAAAUCCUGGAGCUCAACUCCAGAACUGCCUCCGAUACUGGGAGCCUCCGAGUCCGGGAGAGGUGAGUGGAACUGCGAGUGUAGAGGUGAAAUUCGUAGAUAUUCGCAAGAACACCAGUGGCGAAGGCGGCUCACUGGCCCGGUACUGACGCUGAGGUGCGAAAGCGUGGGGAGCAAACAGGAUUAGAUACCCCAGUAGUCCCUGAGCGGGCUGGCAAGGCGCAU
rnacentral:rRNA from 1 species